rnacentral:rRNA from 1 species
GAUGAACGCUGGCGGCGUGCCUAAUACAUGCAAGUCGAACGGUGAAGCAGGAGCUUGCUCUUGUGGAUCAGUGGCGAACGGGUGAGUAACACGUGAGCAACCUGCCCCUGACUCUGGGAUAAGCGCUGGAAACGGCGUCUAAUACUGGAUAUGUGAUGUGACCGCAUGGUCUGCAUCUGGAAAGAAUUUCGGUUGGGGAUGGGCUCGCGGCCUAUCAGCUUGUUGGUGAGGUAAUGGCUCACCAAGGCGUCGACGGGUAGCCGGCCUGAGAGGGUGACCGGCCACACUGGGACUGAGACACGGCCCAGACUCCUACGGGAGGCAGCAGUGGGGAAUAUUGCACAAUGGGCGGAAGCCUGAUGCAGCAACGCCGCGUGAGGGAUGACGGCCUUCGGGUUGUAAACCUCUUUUAGCAGGGAAGAAGCGAAAGUGACGGUACUUGCAGAAAAAGCACCGGCUAACUACGUGCCAGCCGCCGCAGUAA